CCGUUGGCUGCUACCCUUGAAUCUCCCUAUUUGUCAACAACAAAAGAAAAAGAUGUUGCCUAUAAGACCAAAUGUGGGGCAUCUGGUUAUCCCUCCAAAAUAAGGCAAUGACCACACGUUCAACGCGGAUCAUUCGUUUUUUCAUCGAACUUUACUCAUUCCAUCUUCUGGAUUGCUUAGGAAAGCUGAUUGGUGUUACCUGUCGCCUGUCAUUUAGGUAAUGACCGAGAAGAUGCGGCCUACAUGAACAUCAUUCAGGCGGCCAGCAUCAUUCGACUACCCAAUCGACUUCUACUACCCUGCUCUCAACAUAGCACGGAGUUUUACCCUUUAGAUUUUUGGCUGUUCGCGAUGUGUGAUGGCGUUUCCUUGGACGAGAUGAUGAUUUUGGCGAGAACAAUAUUGCGUUCUAACCUUCAGGUUCCUAAAUUUGCAUGGCAGAGUUUAUGAAAAGUAAUGUUCU
rnacentral:misc_RNA from 1 species